GGGCUGGUGGCGCAACUGGUAGCGUGCUGUCACAGGGUACACAAUUCCGGACUCUUUACAACGGAGGUCCUCGUUCGAUCCGAGGUCAGCCCC